AAAGUAUUCUCUCCGUCCAAAAAUACUUGUCGGUGAAAUGGAUGUAUUUAGACGUAUUUUAGUUCUAAAUACAUCAUUUUUUAUCCAUUUCUCCGACAAGUAUUUCCGGAUGGAGUAUGUC
rfam:Triticum aestivum genome assembly, contig: Triticum_aestivum_CS42_TGACv1_scaffold_096429_2AL